rnacentral:rRNA from 1 species
AACGUAGGUUCCGAGCGUUAUCCGGAUUUACUGGGCGUAAAGCGCGUUCAGGCGGUUUGGCAAGUCGGGCAUGAAAUCUCUCGGCUCAACCGGGAGAGGUUGUCCGAUACCGCUGGACUUGAGGGCAGUAGAGGGUGGUGGAAUUCCGGGUGUAGUGGUGAAAUGCGUAGAUAUCCGGAGGAACACCAGUGGCGAAAGCGGCCACCUGGACUGCACCUGACGCUGACACGCGAAAGCUAGGGGAGCGAACGGG